GUCUCUGUAGCAACAUGGAUAGUGCGUUGGAUUUCUAAUCCAAAUGUUGCGGGUUAGAAUCCCACCGGGGAUG